CUAAUCAGGAAGAAUUUUCAAAUAGAAAACAGGAGGUGUAUCCUAUGUGAUGAUGAACCCAAUGAAUACCUACAACACCUCUUCUUUGAAUGUGACUUCAGCAGAAACUUUUGGGCUGCAAUAGGAAUGGAAUGGAAUACAGACCUUAAUACUAUAGAAAUGCUGAUGGAGGGCAAAAGCAGAGAUCACAGCCAGGUUUUUAAGGAGAAGAUGAUAGUAGGGUGUUGGAGCAUAUGGAAGCACAGGAAUGGCAUUAUCUUUGACAACAAUGAUAGAAGUUUGACUCGCUGCUUAUCAAGUUUCAAAGAGCAUUUUAGCACCAUUAUCAAGAAAGCAAGACCUAGUUUAAAGGAUGGGAUGCAAUCCUGGUUGGAUACAUUGUAA
rnacentral:rRNA from 1 species